UACUUAGUGGCAGACGGGUGAGUAACAUGUGGGUAUCUACCCUUUGGCCUGGAAUAACACGAGGAAACUUGUGCUAAUACCGGAUAAGUCUUUACGGAGAAAGCUUUAUGCACCAUUGGAUGAGCCCGCACUUGAUUAGUUUGUUGGUAGGGUAAUGGCCUACCAAGACUAUGAUCAAUAGCUGAUUUGAGAGGAUGAUCAGCCACAUUGGGACUGAGACACGGCCCAAACUCCUACGGGAGGCAGCAGUGGGGAAUCUUGCACAAUGGAGGAAACUCUGAUGCAGCGAUGCCGCGUGAGUGAAGAAGGCCUUUGGGUUGUAAAGCUCUUUCGUCGGGGAAGAAAAUGACUGUACCCGAAUAAGAAGGUCCGGCUAACUUCGUGCCAGCAGCCGCGGUAAUACGAAGGGACCUAGCGUAGUUCGGAAUUACUGGGCUUAAAGAGUUCGUAGGUGGUUGAAAAAGUUGGUGGUGAAAUC
rnacentral:rRNA from 1 species